UACGAGGGGGGCGAGCGUUGUUCGGAAUUAUUGGGCGUAAAGGGUGCGUAGGCGGUUUGGUAAGUCUUGUGUGAAAUCUCUGGGCUCAACUCAGAGUCUGCACGAGAAACUGCCGGGCUUGAGUGUGGGAGAGGUGAGUGGAAUUCCUGGUGUAGCGGUGAAAUGCGUAGAUAUCUGGAGGAACACCGGUGGCGAAGGCGGCAUCCUGGACCGGCAUUGACGCUGAGGCGCGAAAGCCAGGGGAGCAAACGGG
rnacentral:rRNA from 1 species